GUGCCAGCCGCCGCGGUAAGACGAACCGAGCGAACGUUGUUCGGAAUCACUGGGCUUAAAGGGCGCGUAGGCGGGUGCUCAAGUCCGGGGUGAAAUCCCACAGCUCAACUGUGGAACUGCCUCGGAUACUGGGUGCCUCGAGGGUGGUAGGGGUAUGCGGAACUAUCGGUGGAGCGGUGAAAUGCGUUGAUAUCGAUAGGAACUCCGGUGGCGAAGGCGGCAUACUGGACCACUUCUGACGCUGAGGCGCGAAAGCCAGGGGAGCAAACGGGAUUAGAAACCCUCGUAGUCC
rnacentral:rRNA from 1 species